GGAGAUUUGACCAGGUGAGUUUAUGAUCCUUGGCACCUUCACAAAAGCAUGAUCUGGAUAUUUUUCUUCUAGACACUGUUUAUCUAAUUGACAGAUAUUAACAUUGUAAACAUUUUAGAGGAGACGCUCUGGUAGAUGUUGGGGAAAUAGAUGAAGAGGACCAGCCACUGCUCUCAAGGAUCUCAGACCCAUAUGUGAUCGAUGACAACGCAGCAAGUGUGUCAACAGAAAACUGAUCCCAAAAAGGCCCAGAGGGUAAAAGCCUGACUCUUCCAGAAAGUUUCAGGGAGGAAGUGCUAUGGCUGACUAUUGCAAGAAGACUCAGGUGGAAGGGGAAGAUAAGGAAGGACAUUCCCGGCAGAAGGGACAGCUUGGCCAAGGUACCACUAUCUGCAAAGGGGACCAAACGGAUGACUUGCCCAGGAAUUUGGGGGAGAGCCUGAAGCCAUCUCCUGUAAUCAUAGCAUCUCAUUAAAAAAUUCUGAUUUAUUGUAAAAAUCUAUUUGAACUUGUGUCUAAUCCAUUUUUGUAUGUGUUCUUGGUUUUCAAAUAAAAAUGUUUUAAAUUAA
rnacentral:lncRNA from 1 species